AACAAUGUGGCUAAAGAUACAAUAAAUUGAAGUUAAAAGCUGAAAAAAAGUGGGAGGAAACUAGGGAAUACCAUGCCGGAAUGACGAUGAACGGAAUGGAUUCUACGAUUAGAGCCAGUUUCUUUCUUCUCAAGUUAAGACCUUUCACCCUGAUGGGCCUUUUACGGCCGAUGAAGUUCCGACUCCAUUUCAGUAUUUUGCCGAACCAACCCAACGCUAAUUACUCCUCGCUUCAGUCCCUAGUACCGGCCUCACAACUCGCAAUGCUAAGGGUACAAAAAUGUAGUCCAACACUGUUGAGCUAAUAAUCAUAUUUUGUUGUAUAAAUAGAAAAUCCUACUCGGCUACAAACAUUGAAGAUGAAGUAAAAUAGACAUGAAAUAUGCUUUUAUUAUAAUAAAACAGUAUCCUAAUCGAAUGAUCA